rnacentral:lncRNA from 1 species
GCACCCACAGAGGCUCAGGACUAGCUAGCAUCCACAGGGGCUUAGGCCCAUUCAACAUCCACAGGGGCUCAGGACCAGUCAGCACCCACAGGGACUCUGGUCUAUGUCAGAGAACAAAAUCCACACCACCGGUUUCACUUGCAGCUGACCCUGCUCUUGGAGACCAGACAUGGAACCAUGCCCUUCACCCACAGGGCUGACUUCGCAGCCACCGCCCAAGCCUCACCUGUCUCCUGGGCCAGUGGGAAGGUCCACUUAGCCACUGUGUAAAAGGCACUUAGCACCUGCCCGCCAUUAUCAUUAGCCCACCCCCACCCAGUUAACAGAUGAGGUAACUGGAAAGCUAUUCAGGGACCUGUCCAGAGUCACACUGCUACCGGGUUGCGACAUGUGUAUGCCAUGGUCUAAAACCUCACAAGAUGGCUGUCUGGAGCAAAGCCUUGCUCUGAGAGAAGGUUCUAGACCUAGAUGGGCCUUAAAAUAUCACAGAGAGACAGAAAGAGAGAGGAUGAGGGAGAAAGGCAGGCAGACGAGGGAAAGGGAGGGGGGGAGAGGUGGAGGAGCCUUUUGUGAAUAAAGGCAAUUUCAGUCAGUAAGAUAACAUAAUUGACAAGCUGCAAAAAAAACAAAACAAAACAAAACAA